CGCUCACUAGAAAUGCAAAGGCCUGUUUCCAGCACCUUUUAUCAUGGAGUGUUAUGUUUUUCAGUAUGGCCAAUUUCUUUAAUUACUAGAGAGGAUAUUUUUUUUUCUCAUGUAUUGCAUUAACUCCUGUGUACUUUAUUUUAUAACUAGGGUAGUCAAAUUCUUUCACGAUUUUUUAAAUUUUGAAAUAAUAAAUGUUAAGAUAAUUAUCCCUGUCAUAUAUUUGCAAACAUUUUCCCAGUUUAUCAUUUUCCCCUUUAAUUUUGUUUGACAUUUUUUGACAUACAGAUGUUUUAAAUUAUUUAUGUUGUCAACCUUAUCAAUCACUUCCCUUAUGUUUUCUUCCUUUGGUUUUAUGUAAGUACACAGGAGUGUUCACUCAGUGAAAAUUCAUCCAGGGCACUUAUGAUCUGCAUACAUUUUCUGUAUGUAUAUUUCAAUAAAAUUUACCAAAAAUAAAUCAAAAGUAAAGAUCUUUGAAUUGAAUUACAUUUCUAGCCUCUAAAUAUGUAUAUGUACCUACACACACACACACAUAUUCUUUUGGUUAUUUUAUUCAUCUUUUAAAUUCUUUAAUCCAUUUGGGUAUGUUGUAAAGCGAACUAAAUGUAUUUUUCCAAACUGUCAACUAGUUUUAGCAAAAUAAUUCUCCUUUCACUAUGGAUAGAUUAAUACCUUUUGUCCCCUCUGAACCUCAGCAUCAACAUUUGCAAAAUGAGUAAUAUGGAUUGACCUCUUGGCUUCUCUCUGUGUCCACCUGUGAAGAAGUUACAUAAAUGUUAAAUAAUAAUCAAUAGUGAUUUAAAACCAUAAGAGGGGAAAACACUGAAUCAAAAUAUACCAACCAGGCACUUCAUCUAACAAGUCCAGACAAAUAUGAAUAACCACCUAUUAAUGGCAAUUGUGUUCAUAAAAGUAAAGUUCAACAUAUUAAAAAGAGAGAGAGAGAGAGAUGAAAAUGAAGGUAAAAAAGCUGUUUCUCUCAGACUUGUAAAUAGUCCAGAGAAGAAAUUACCAGAAGCAGCAAAUCUAACCACAUCAGCAGCUGAGCACCCUCUUCUACCUUCUGUAAUGGGAAAUCCAUUUGACCCCAUGGUUCCUACACAUCCAUAUAUCCCUCCAUCACCUCCUGAUAUUGACCUUGGAAGCUUUGCAGACAUUGACCUAGUUAGGUACAGACUCAAAACUGAAUUACCAUUUUCAUGUUCAUAGAAUCAAUUAUCAUUUGCCCUUGAGCUCUUCAGGAGUUGACACAUUCAGUGAGUAAAUUUUGGUACUGAAGCUUUU
rnacentral:lncRNA from 1 species